GAGCCGGGGAGACAAUCCAAAUCGUAAUCAGUGUUCAUUAUUUGAUUGAGCACGAUGUGGUCUGCUAGUCGCGUUAAACCAUUCAAAAGAGUUUUGUCAGCCCCCAAAAGUGCUUUCCUUCUCGCGGAAAGAAGAUGUUUAGUUUUUUUGUCUAUCUCCUUUACCUAUCAUAUGGUGAGUGUCUAAAUUAGAAAGUUUUAAGAAUUCAACUUUGGUCCCUUCUUUAAGUCUUCUGAAGUCCAAUUCGGAAAGCGUUGGAAUAUGUUUAUAUCUGAACAUGGGUAUAUCAGUAUUAAUCAUCUAGAAAUAUUGCAGCUCUAUACUGCAAACUGUUUGCCUCCCCCGUUCUUUCCCAACUCCUUAGUGUAGAUAGGAAAAUCUUUUUGGAUUCUGAUACUCUUAAGGUAAAAUUGCUCUGUUUCCUUAUGGUGUUCCAUGGAUUAGGUUUACAGAUACUUACGUGUGGAUGUAGCUCUGUGACAGAACAUGCGGGUGCAGCCACUACUUUUGGCUUCAAUUUAUAUGUUUAUAUCUAUCGUUACCAAAGAAUAGUGGAAACAGUGAUAUCACUAGUUUAAACUAAACUCGCCUGUAACUUGGAUGCGAUGGAAACUUAUGGAUCGUUUUGUUCAGACUAAUUUAGAUUAUAUUACAUGGAUCUUAUGGUGAAUAACAAUACAUAGAUUGUUAUGCGGUGGAUAAUAAUACGGGAUUGUUAUGAUAUUAAAGCCAAGAAUUAUCUUAUUAUUACACAUUCUCAUUUCACCAUUUUUUCCUUCUAUAAAAUAAUACAAUGAUUCUCACUUAAGUUAUACAGGUACUAGUAAUCGGAGAUUAACAUUGAGGAGUUGUAUGCCGGAAACCAAACGAUAUACUUAUAAAGCGAAGUUUAAUUAAUGCCUUGAUUGUUUUAUUAUAUGAACAGACUAGCCCUUAUGGUUUUAAGCCUUUUUCUAAUCAAAUUUUUAACUACCUGCUAGGCCUCAGUUUCCAUCUCUUUUAUAUCUUGACGUCUGCUUUAGAUACAACCUCAUUAAUUUCCUCAUAAAUUGCAGAUUGUUAUAAAUUGCAGAUUGUUACACUUGAAUUUGAGGCUCCUCCAAAUCCCCCAUUUUGCAGCUUGGUGGAGUGCUGGGGUUAUUGAGAGAACAUGUAGAGAAUAUAAUACUGCACUUAUUCUUAGGUUCGGAUAUAAGAGAUUCAAAUAUUUUAUUUUCUGUGAGGACGGUUUUUGUAGAGAAAGAUUUGAAGAAAUAUUGCAUUAUUUUGACAUGUUUUCAAGCAGAAGUUUCUGCUGAAGUUAAUUCAAUUUCUCUGUUAAACUGAUUCAAAGGUCUGUUUGUCCUGUUCAUUCUUUGUCCAUCUCUUUAUUAUAUGUUGUUUACCUACUCUAUCGGCUUAAGUACCUCGUCAUUUAGACAUUUAUGACAUGAAAACUGAAAUAGAUUCGUCAAUUUCAAUGAAUAUUCCAUUUACCUACUCUAUUGGCUUGAUUGUGCUUGCACACAACCUUAAAGCUCAAAUUCCUGCAGUGGUAAAAAAUACUAAGUGCUUCCUUCCUAUUUGUUUAAGUUUUGGUGGAUAGAGUUCCAGAUACAUGUAUGAUGGUGAAAGGUAACCGAUACCUAGUACAAUUAGUUGUGGUGCAUACCAACGGGCUCAGUCAACAUGGUUAUAAAAAGACAAAAGGCAUGUCAAUGGCUGAUGAUCACUACAAGGUUGGGAGGAAAAUGUCUAGACAAGCUUUAGUAGUGAAAGCAGAAAAGGAAAAAAGAAAAAUUAAUAUACGAGUUUGAAUACACCACAUCUGGGGGGGGGGGGGGGGGAACUACUAUUACUAUCCUCAAAUACCAAGCACAAAUGUUGAUACCUUUGUCGGCCUUUUGGGUAAGAAAUCAGUUUAAUUCCAACUACCUGUAAGAUGUUCAUAGUGCUACGAGAUGUUCAGACUUGGUCUAGUAGCACUCUCUUAGCAACACAAUGGCUAUACGCCCUUCAAAACCAAGUACAACAAGAAUCUUGUUGCUUCAUAUUCAAUGAUGAAGCUAGCAAUGGAGCCAUGAAUUCUGAUACGAGAAUUCAGAAAAUAGUACGAAUGUCACAUCUAAAAUGUGUUUGGACAUGAAUUUUGGAUGAAGUUUUGACUUUUGACAUGUUAAAAAGUACUCUCUUUUUUUCCAACUAAAAAGGGGGCAUUUGCAUCUAUACCCGCUUUUUGGAUCACGUUUUAACUUGUACCCGCUUGGCAAAAAAAUUUGCAAGCGUACCCACUUUUUUGCGUAACUUCAGCAUCUGGGCCUGAAGUAGCAAAAGCAAUCACGCAAAUUUCAGCAUUUUAGUAGACGGGCCUGAAGUAGCAAAAAUUGCUGAACCAAGUGUGCUAAAGUUUUUGUUUGUAAUUGCUGAACUUAAGCAUUCUAGUGUUGAAAUUUUGUUCUCUAUUUGCAGAAGUUUUUAUUUGUAAUUGCUGAACUUAAGCAUUCUAGUAGCUGAAGUUUUGUNNNNNNNNNNNNNNNNNNNNNNNNNNNNNNNNNNNNNNNNNNNNNNNNNNNNNNNNNNNNNNNNNNNNNNNNNNNNNNNNNNNNNNNNNNNNNNNNNNNNNNNNNNNNNNNNNNNNNNNNNNNNNNNNNNNNNNNNNNNNNNNNNNNNNNNNNNNNNNNNNNNNNNNNNNNNNNNNNNNNNNNNNNNNNNNNNNNNNNNNNNNNNNNNNNNNNNNNNNNAGUUUUUUCAAAAACUUCAGCAUAAGAUGCUGAAGUUAUUUAGUUCAUUUGUAAAAACUUUAGCACUAAAUAAGCUGAAGUGUUUUUGUCCUGGAUUCAUUAGUUUUGUCAUUAAGCUUUUUCAAAGACUUCAGUAGAUGAUGCUGAAGUUAUUUAGUUCAUUUGUAAAAACUUCAGCACUAAAUAAGCUGAAGUUUUUUUGUCCCGGAUUCAUUAGUUUUUUCAUAAAGCUUUUUCAAAAACUUCAGCACUAUAUAAGCUGAAGUUAUUUAGUUCAUUUGUAAAAACUUCAGCACUAUAUAAGCUGAAGUUUUUGAAAAAGAUUUCUAACAUACUAGAUAAAUAAUCACCUUAUUCUUUCAUAGUGUAUUACUACUAUAAAAUAAUUAGAUUGCCAACAAUAUCUAAAUCAUAAAUUUUUGAAACAAUAAACGUGAAAAGAACAGAAUUAUCAUGAAAAGAAUCACUAAGUGUGACCUUAAACUUCCCGUACGUUAAAAUAUUCACAAAUUAUUGUCUACUAACUUACGUAAUUAUUUAUAACUUAUUUUUAAAUAAUCUGAUAAACAUACUUAUGACAAUCAUCCCAUGAACUGAAAUUUUAUAGCAGCACCAACAACAGCAGAAGAAAGAAGAAGAAGAAAACGAAGGAGGAGAAAUGGGGCUGAAAUUAUUUAAAAAGUGGGUACAAAUUAAAACUUUUUAAAAAAUGGGUAUAAGUUAAAUGAUAGCGACCAAAUAAGGCGCCCCCCCGUGCAAUUUUUACGCUAAAAAGUCCCAAAUUGUCAUGAUUUGGCCCAAAAAGAGGUCUCAAGCUAUAUAGCUGACGUUUGGCCAUAAAUUGCCAAAUUUGUUUUGAAAAAUUCAAUUUGGGUGAAGUUUGGUUUGAAGAUGAAAAUGUGUUUGGAUAUCAGUUUUCAAAACAUAUUUCACUUUUUUUUUUUGAAAAAAACAUGGAACGUGACUUAACCCACAAGUUCUAAAAACAAUCACAAAUACCCAACAAUACAUUAAUCAAUAAUAUUCAUUAUCAUUAUCACAAACCAUAAUCCUGAACAUAAAUAAAUUUGAUACAAAAUUAUCAUUUUUAUAAUAAACUACAUAAUACACUAUCAAAUGAUCGAGAAGACGAAACAACAUUGUUACAAAAUAAUAAAUGGUAGGCUCUUUUAUAAAAUACGAAAGUUUAUGACAAUUUUUAAAAAAUGUAAUAGUAAUAUUUUGGGCCAAAUGGUUUUGGGAUUUGGGUUUUGAGUUUUGAAAAUUUACCAAAAUAUGGAUAAAAUUUAUAAACAAACAUUUCUUUGCCAAUUUUUUUUUAGCAAAAUCUAUGGCCGAACGGGUCAUAUAUUUGGGAUUUGAAGUUUUGGUUUUCAAAUCUUCCAAAAACUAAAUAAUUCUAUAAACAAACACAUAUUUGAAAUUUUUGUUUGGAAGAAAACUUCCAAAAUUUAUGGCCAAACGCCUAGUUAGAUUCGAACAAAUGGUAUAAAACAACUUCUUUGUCACCUUUGUCAUUAAAUUCCAAACUUUUCUUACGUCAACGGAAAUCAAUUUUUUUAUAUAUACAUGAAAUGUAUUUCACCCUAUUUGGAUGAUAUAAUUUUCCAACAAGAAAUUUCAAUUGGUCUCUUUCAUGCAAUCCACUAUUUACCCUCCAAAAUACAUCCCAAAUGUUUACAUCUUGUUCAUAAUUCAAGUUAACCAAAAGUAGAGCAAUUGUAAAACACUAUAUGAAGUGCAGUGUGUUCCAUAUGUCUGAGGUUCCCUUCCCAGUUGUAACAGCAAAACCUGCAAAAUGUUCCGCAUCUCUCGUGGCACCCCAAACAAAUGCAAAUGUGCAGUGCAAUAUAACAUCAUUUGCAUUUUUACUACAGCAUUUUCAUCUCCUUUUAUCUAAGAAGAUACACAGCCAGCAGCGGAGCUAGAGUGCUAGCAGCAAGUUCGGCCAAACCUAGUAGUUUUAGUUUGAAUUAUGUAGUAUUUGUCUUUAAAUUUUUGUUGAAAGUAUACAAAUAAUAACUUAAAAAGGAUUAAGAAUUUUGAACCCAUAAACUAAAAAUCCUAGCUCUGCCGUUGAGGCGAAGGAGCACAUAGAAUCAUAUGGAAAUGGUAAUGUGGAGUCAGCUAUGUUUUCAAUUGAACACAGGUAUACACAAUAAUUCACCUUUUACCAUGAAAGUAGAAGCCAGAGUCCAGAAAAGUACAAGCUGAUAAAAAGAAUAGGUUACUGCAUACUAUUAUACUAGACUUACCUGAUGCUGAAAACAAACAUUUUAAUAAUAUAGUGGCGGUUCCAGAGAUCAAACAGAAAACAAAAACAGAAAAUGAAGCAAAUCACUAGAGGUCGAACCAAUACAUGGUUGGACUUAGCAAGAUAAUGCAAAUAAAUAUGGGCAUACCCAAAAUUUUGGCAAUUACCUAAAGCCAUGCUUGAUUUAUUUUGCUCAACUUGAGAACAAGAUAAUUCAAGUCCCAACAUUAUCACGGUUAUGGAACAAUGAAGUGUUUUCAUCCAUAAAUUCAGAAGUUGUCACAAACACAAACAUACUCCAAAAAGGCAGUUGGACCUUCGUUUCUCCACAGUGAUACUAAACAUUCUUCGUAGUAUUUGUAAAAUGAAUCUACUCACAACCAUGUAAAAUGACGAGAAAAUAAAGCAAGCAUGUUCUGGAUAAUAUACUAACAUAAAAAUAAAGGUAACAAUGUACUCAAACCAAUAUUGAUAAUGGGCAAUUUAGCUGAUAUCAAAUUAAUGUUUUGGCCUUCUUCUCUCCACAAAGACUUCUAUAGAUUCAUUGCAUUUCACCUCUUUGUUUUUAUGUUAAUCCCUCGGCGACCCACAACCAUUCAAAAUUAUGAAAAAAAAUAAAGAAAGCAUGUUCCAGAAAAAUUUGCUUAAAUCAAAAUAAACAUAACUUUACACAAAAAUGAAGAAGAAAAAAGAUCUAUUUUACUAUGAGAUGGCGGCUGAGGGAAAGAACCCUAGCUUUAGAAGAUGCAAGAUUGAGGGAUAAAUAGAUAGAGCUUUUAUCAAAAUUGCACUAGAGCCCCUUACACUUCUAAAGAUUUAGAAAUUUGUAUCCUUGAUUACUUCU
rnacentral:lncRNA from 1 species